CCUACGGGCGGCUGCAGUGGGGAAUAUUGGACAAUGGGGGGAACCCUGAUCCAGCCAUGCCGCGUGUGUGAAGAAGGCCCUCGGGUUGUAAAGCACUUUCAGUGAGGAAGAACGCCUGGUGGUUAAUACCCAUCAGGAAAGACAUCACUCACAGAAGAAGCACCGGCUAACUCCGUGCCAGCAGCCGCGGUAAUACGGAGGGUGCGAGCGUUAAUCGGAAUUACUGGGCGUAAAGCGCGCGUAGGUGGCUUGAUAAGCCGGUUGUGAAAGCCCCGGGCUCAACCUGGGAACGGCAUCCGGAACUGUCAAGCUAGUGUGCAGGAGAGGAAGGUAGAAUUCCCGGUGUAGCGGUGAAAUGCGUAGAGAUCGGGAGGAAUACCAGUGGCGAAGGCGGCCUUCUGGACUGACACUGACACUGAGGUGCGAAAGCGUGGGUAGCAAACAGGAUUAGAUACCCCUGUAGUC
rnacentral:rRNA from 1 species